rnacentral:lncRNA from 1 species
GUCCCUUCCUAAGCCAAGGCGCAGCACGCAGGUGCGGGCAGUAGACGCGCGCGUGCGCCCAGGGGCCGCUUAUCUCCAGGCCGCCUCUGCGGGUCCCCUGCAACGUGCGGGCGCGGCCAGAAGGAGGCCGGCGCGGAGCGGAGCCCGGGGAACGUGAGUCCUGACUGGCCGUUCCCCUCCGCUCUCACAGCCGGGCUCCGCGCUGCGGACAGAUGCAGAUACCGAGGCACUGAGACUGCCAGCAGCGUGCAAUGGUGGGAAUGUCCCCAAGGCAGAAGUGAAUCAAGAUUCUUGAAUGAUGAGAGCUCCAUUGAAAGAAAAAAGAUGCACUAAGUGAGGAAACCAACAUUGAACACCUACUCUACCAGGACACUCUAGAACUUGACUUUGAGACACUGGGCUCGCAUCCCAGGUACACCGCCUGCUAGUCCCAUGGUCCUGGGCUUGCAGCUGAACCUGUCAGUGCCUGACUGUGGGCAUCUGUGAAGUGGGGACAGUCCAGCCCAGCUUCCCAAAAGGUUUGUAUGGCGAUUCAAAAUGAGCUACUGUGAACAGCAGCUCCCUGGGUGUCCAUGUCUCAUGGGGGGUCCAGAUGGCUCCAGCGUACAUGGGUGUCCUUGUCUUUUCUCUCCGAAUCCUUUAUCUUUGCUUCUUCUUCAGAUGUCUUCACCUCUCUCUCCUUUUUAAAUAUUGAAAUAAAUAAGUAUUUUUUUGUCUGUGCA